rnacentral:rRNA from 1 species
UACGGGGGGGGCAAGCGUUGUUCGGAAUUACUGGGUGUAAAGGGCUCGUAGGUGGCCAACUAAGUCAGACGUGAAAUCCCUCAGCUUAACUGGGGAACUGCGUCUGAUACUGGAUGGCUUGAGUUUGGGAGAGGGAUGCGGAAUUCCAGGUGUAGCGGUGAAAUGCGUAGAUAUCUGGAGGAACACCGGUGGCGAAGGCGGCAUCCUGGACCAACACUGACACUGAGGAGCGAAAGCCAGGGGAGCAAACGGG